rnacentral:rRNA from 1 species
UACGGGGGGGCAAGCGUUGUCCGGAUUUAUUGGGCGUAAAGAGCUCGUAGGCGGUUCGACAAGUCGGGUGUGAAACUCCGGGCUCAACCCGGAGACGCCACCCGAUACUGUCGUGACUGGAGUCCGGUAGGGGAGUGGGGAAUUCCUGGUGUAGCGGUGAAAUGCGCAGAUAUCAGGAGGAACACCGGUGGCGAAGGCGCCACUCUGGGCCGGUACUGACGCUGAGGAGCGAAAGCGUGGGUAGCAAACAGG